rnacentral:rRNA from 2 species
GGUCACACCCGUUCCCAUACCGAACACGGAAGUUAAGCUCUUCAGCGCCGAUGGUAGUCGGGGGUUUCCCCCUGUGAGAGUAGGACGCCGCCAAGC